rnacentral:rRNA from 1 species
UUAAAAAGCUCGUAGUUGGAUUUCGGAGUGGGCCAGUUGGUCCGCCGCAAGGUGUGUUACUGACUGGUUUGCUCUUCUUCGCAAAGACUGCGUGUGCUCUUCAGUGAGUGUGCGUAGGAUUUACGACGUUUACUUUGAAAAAAUUAGAGUGUUCAAAGCAGGCUAUUGCUUGAAUACAUGAGCAUGGAAUAAUGGAAUAGGACUUUGGUCCCAUUUUGUUGGUUUCUAGGGCCGAAGUAAUGAUUAAGAGGGACAAUUGGGGGCAUCCGUAUUUCGUUGUCAGGGGUGAAAUUCUUGGAUUUACGAAAGACGAACAACUGCGAAAGCACUUGCCAAGAGUGUUUUCAUUAAUCAAGAACGAAAGUUAGAGGAUCGAAGACGAUCAGAUACCGUCCUAGUUCUAACCAUAAACGAUGUCGACUAGGGAUCAGCGGGCGUUAUCGUACGACCCCGUUGGCACCUUACGGGAAACCAAAGUUUCUGGAUUCCGGGGGAAGUAUGGUUGCAAAGCUGAGACUUAAAGGAAUUGACGGAAGGGCACCACCAGGAGUGGAGCCUGUGGCUCAAUUUGACUCAACACGGGAAAACUUUCCA